rnacentral:rRNA from 1 species
UAGGGAAUCUUCGGCAAUGGGGGGAACCCUGACCGAGCAACGCCGCGUGAGUGAAGAAGGUUUUCGGAUCGUAAAGCUCUGUUGUUAAGGAAGAACGAGUGUGAGAAUGGAAAGUUCAUACUGUGACGGUACUUAACCAGAAAGGGACGGCUAACUACGUGCCAGCAGCCGCGGUAAUACGUAGGUCCCGAGCGUUGUCCGGAUUUAUUGGGCGUAAAGCGAGCGCAGGCGGUUAGAUAAGUCUGAAGUUAAAGGCAGUGGCUCAACCAUUGUAGGCUUUGGAAACUGUUUAACUUGAGUGCAGAAGGGGAGAGUGGAAUUCCAUGUGUAGCGGUGAAAUGCGUAGAUAUAUGGAGGAACACCGGUGGCGAAAGCGGCUCUCUGGUCUGUAACUGACGAUGAGGCUCGAAAGCGUGGGGAGCGAACAGG